CCCACAUGUUAUCUCUUCUACUCACAACUCACACCUCCUCACUCUUCCCUGCCACCCCACCUCACUUCCAAUGCUGGCCACCUCAUUAACUCCUCAUUUAUCUAUCAGGUCUCAGCUUAGAUGCUGCUUUUUCAAGAAAGCCAUUCAUAUCUGCCUAGCCUUGGUCCUGAAAAACUGAUGAAGUUCCAGAAAGCUCAGCAGGAGUAUGUUUUCAUAACUGGCUGAGAAGAGCCUGAAAAUUUUUAAGUGGUGAUAAGAACAAACAAGAUUCAGAGACCAAGAUGAUGCCAAGCAUGAAGAAUUUUUACUCAACUCAUACAGAACCUGAAAAGAGACAUUCUAGUGAGGCUGGAGGAUUGGGAAUUGGGAGAAGAGACCAAC
rnacentral:lncRNA from 10 species